GGGUGCGAUCAUACCAUCACUAAUGCACCAGAUCCCAUCACAACUCCGCAGCUAAGCAUGCUUAGGAUGGGUGACCUCCUAGGAAGUCCACGUGUUGCACCCC
rfam:Beta vulgaris subsp. vulgaris Bvchr4_un.sca029.con0011.1, whole genome shotgun sequence.